rnacentral:misc_RNA from 1 species
CUUCUUUCAACCAUUGACAAAGGACAGUAGAAUUAUGCUACUGUUAGACCACAGUUUAAAACCUCACACAAAUGCUCAAUACUAGGUGCAACAGUUUAUGUCAAUGAAUCCAAAAUAUAAAUAUGCUCCUGUGCCCCUCAUCUGCACAUGAGAAGAACAAUAUUUGCUUUCCCAAAUGCAUUAAUGCCUUAAAAUCAAUGAGAACCACAACAUUAGCAUGCUUCAAGAAACCAAAACGAAGAGGAAGGCAAGUUUUCUUUAUUCUUUUUUCCCCUCAAAAUAAAUAAAUAAUGCACAAAAACCACCAAGGUCCAAGUCCUACUGUACCCCAUUUACAUAGCUUGAUAUCACAAUCCACUCAAUUGAGAGGUGCCAUGUAAGGUAUACAUCACUGGCAGAUAAAAGAGGGGCCACCAAAAAAUCCCAAAAACUUAAAUCAUUUGGUACUUCAAGCUCUACAGGUUGGAGCUCAUUGCUUUGAUAGUGGUUCAUAUUUGGAGAAGAUACUGUACACUUAGAGCUCUAGGCAACCUCCUAGUAAAACCCACCGGUAAGAAUAUCCAAAAUCUGGUCCAGGCCAUCAAUGGCAGUACAGUACAAUGUUAUUAGCCAACAACAGUUCUAAUUGAGGGGGUUAUCAUUGGAUUAUGAGUUUCUUCUAUUCCUACUUGUAAAAGGAAACCGUUGUAUUUCUAUAAAUAGGCGCUUAUAACUUCAUCCUUCAUAGUGAAAAAUUGCAUGUGGUUCUCUGUGGAUGUAGGCAAACUGCCAAACCAAGUAAAAUUCUUCUCUUGUUCUCUUCCAUAUUUUUAUUCUAUUCUGCCUGUAUGAGUUGCAUGCAUUGUCUUUCAUCACUCAUUACAUAUGGUGUCUGUGAGAUUAAUAGUUGUAAAAAAUAAAACUCAAAUUACCCAAGAUUAUAAUGAAUGCAGGGCUGGCUGUGUUUCCCAUACUCUCGAUCAUAUGAUGGAGAUCAAAUGGACUUACAAUAGACUUUUAGCCAAAUGUAUCUAGAGGCCCGCCUUGGUGAUUUAUUUUGUUCAAUUGAAUGCAGAACUCUCUCUCUCUCUCUUACGCCUUCUUGAGAAUAAAAAAAAAAUCUUUAAAAUGUUGAUAAGGUCAAAAUUAAUAUUAUUUAUUCUUUUCAGAAUAAUCUUAUUUGAAUAAAUCCUUUAAAUUUUAACUAAUUUAUAAAAAUAAAAAAAAAUCUUUCACCAACCCUAACACUAGCCACCACCAUCAGAAAAUCAAAAUCUUAAAUAUUAACACAAGUCAAAGAAACAGGGUGAGGGCCUGAGGGGGAAUCUCCACUCCAACUAAAAGAUUUGGAAAUUUAACUGAAUUUUCCUAAAUCAUUUCCUUACACCAGGCUCCAGGUCCAGUUUUGAAAGGCUAAAGAAUCCUUAAAAAAGCUAGAAGUAAUCCUUCUGCCAGCACCAGUGGUGGUGGUAGCCAAAAGAUCCCUGUUGGUGAUUUAUCUGCUGAACUCUGAUACUCGGACUCUUCAAUUUAUUCUGCCAUACCUGUGUCAACACAACACGACAUGGGAUAUGUGUCCGAUCCGACAUUCAUCACGUUGGACACGGAGAGAGAAGAUGAAGAGAGUGGCUACAAAGUAGACCCAGAUGAAACGGGCUGAAGAAGAAUAAGUGCGUGAACCCAUCGCGGACCCAGAUGAGCAAGGACUAAAAACAGAAGAAGAUUUGAUCUGGCUUGCUGCUCUGCUUCCCAAUUGAUGCAGCUAUUUUAUUUUUUAUUUUUCUUCUUCUUCCUCCUUCCUGCUAUUCUCUUUCCCCACCUAACUGGGUUUUCUUUUCUUUUAUAUACUUUCUUUACUUGAAUUCAUGCCCUCAUGCUGUCCUUUCUUCUGUUGCCCACAUGCUGCCUGUUUUAUUUUGUUGCCAAAAAUAGUAAUUUUGUGCUAAUCCUUUUGCAUGCAUCCUCUUUUUUUUUUUAAUUUUAAAAAU